GUGCUAGCUUUGGCAGCAUAUUGACUAAAAUUGGAACAAUAUAGAGAAGUUUAGCAUGGCCCCCACAUAAGGAUGACAUGGAAGUUCAUGAAGUAUUCCAUAAGAAU
ensembl:snRNA U6 U6 spliceosomal RNA